AGAUGCCCGACUGUGUUUAUUUUUAAUUUGAGUUUCUGAAAUUGUUCUAUUCAUCAUCAUCAAUGGAGAAUCCACAGAGGCAAACCAGAAGCUACAUGCCAAACACCCUGAUGAAUGCAAAUUUUAAACAAUCAUCUGGGGAGGUUUUCUAGACCUACUUAAGCUUCAUAAGGGUGGACACUCCUAGGUAGCUCCAAAUGCAAACAUUAAGAAGAAAGAGACUGGGGUGAAGCUGGCAGACAGCAGAAGCAAGAAGAUGCAAGAAAUGGAUUCUUCCCCAGAGCGUCCAGAGCAAGCCUGCCUCUACCAACACAGUGGCUGAUUCUGCCCCAUUGAAACUGACUUAGGACUUCUGACCUUCAUGACGGAACUAACUUUAAUAUCAAGUAGUAAAGCUCUUUAUAGAGUUUGCUUCUUAUCUGUAUGACUCCAAUUUGGAGCCAGUGUCAUAUAUUCAAGUGUACCAAUUACCAGUAAUUUAAUGGGAAGAGGAACUAAGUGAGCAUCAUAUAGCAAGUGCUUACUGGUGAAUCAACUUUGCUCUGAAAGAAAGAAAGGCUAACACAUACCAAAAUGCUACUGCAGAGAGACUGCUGGGUGCAUUCUCAACAUCACUUCCCUUCUACAUGGAAGAUGAGCAUGUUCCUCUACCCACAGUACAGAUUGCAUCUUGACAGAAUCCUUUCCUUGCAUCACUUUCUAAUAU